UUGAAGAGUCUUCUUGGUUAUCAUCAAGGAUCGUCGUACGUCUCAACGUCACUUCGUCGUUCUUCAUUCAUUCGUCCCCGAGUGAACUCUCUGGGGAUCUGUUACAAAGCUUCCACAUCACAACCUGCAAGUGAAUGGAAUACCUAACAGUACCUGCAAAACAGAUCGUCAGAUAAAACCGUGCCCCAGGCGUGUCAAGAUUUCAACACUUGGGUCACUCAACCUUCCAAAUAAGAUUUC
rnacentral:lncRNA from 1 species